rnacentral:rRNA from 1 species
ACGGAAGGCAGCAGCUAAGAAUAUUCCGCAAUGGACGAAAGUCUGACGGAGCGACGCCGCGUGGAUGAUGAAGGUCGGAAGAUUGUAAAAUCCUUUUGAGUGUGAAGAAUAAGUGCAUCAGGGAAUGGGUGCAUGGUGACGGUAGCACUUGAAUAAGCAACGGCUAAUUACGUGCCAGCAGCCGCGGUAACACGUAAGUUGCGAGCGUUGUUCGGAAUUAUUGGGCGUAAAGGGCAUGUAGGCGGUUUUGCAAGCUUGGUGUGAAAUCCCGGAGCUCAACUCCGGAAUUGCGUUGAGAACUGCAUAACUAGAGUCACUGAGGGGCAAUCAGAAUUCCAGGUGUAGGGGUGAAAUCUGUAGAUAUCUGGAAGAAUACCAAUGGCGAAGGCAGGUUACCAGCAGAUGACUGACGCUGAGGUGCGAAGGUGCGGGGAGCAAACAGGAUUAGAUACCCUGGUA